GUGCCAGCAGCCGCGGUAAUACAGAGGGUGCGAGCGUUGUCCGGAAUCACUGGGCGUAAAGGGCGCGUAGGCGGCCUGAUAAGUAGGGGGUGAAAUCUCGCGGCUCAACUGCGAGGCUGCCUCCUAAACUGUCGGGCUCGAGCACAGUAGAGGCAGGUGGAAUUCCCGGUGUAGCGGUGGAAUGCGUAGAGAUCGGGAAGAACAUCGGUGGCGAAGGCGGCCUGCUGGGCUGUUGCUGACGCUGAGGCGCGACAGCGUGGGGAGCAAACAGGAUUAGAUACCCUGGUAGUCCACGCCGUAAACGAUGGGUACUAGGCGCCGGGGGGAGCGACCCCUUCGGUGCCGUCGCUAACGCAAUAAGUACCCCGCCUGGGGAGUACGGCCGCAAGGCUGAA
rnacentral:rRNA from 1 species